UUCUUUAGGUGUGAUACCACCAAAUCAUGGUACGUCACAUCCGGUUGUAUACGAAAAUAGGUCGAAAAAAAUAUUCCCUUGAAUUUGACAGUUGUAGGUAAUUAAUCCUACAUUUUAUUGCAGUAAAAGAUUUCUGUGUCAUAAACAUAUGUCUUGGGUAUUUCAAAGCACCAUUAUUUUUUUAUUUGGGAUUUCUAUAGAAUAUUUUGUAAUCUUGAGGUUACAUGGUGACUAAACCUUGUACACAGAUAAAAUAAGGGGAGAAAUUUGAUUGGUUAACUUCCGGUGAUGGUUAUUUUCUUAUAUGCAAUGAAAUAUUAUGUGAUUUUUUUUCUAUAGUACUGGACAGGAUAAA
rnacentral:lncRNA from 1 species